rnacentral:rRNA from 1 species
UACGUAGGGAGCAAGCGUUGUCCGGAUUUACUGGGCGUAAAGAGCGCGCAGGCGGUCGAUCAAGUCGAGUGUGAAAGCCCCCGGCUCAACUGGGGAGGGUCAUUCGAUACUGAUCGACUCGAAGGCAGGAGAGGGUAGUGGAAUUCCCGGUGUAGUGGUGAAAUGCGUAGAUAUCAGGAGGAACACCAAUGGCGAAGGCAGCUCGCUGGGACGGUACUGACGCUGAGACGCGAAAGCGUGGGGAGCAAACAGG